GACGAACGCUGGCGGCGUGCUUAACACAUGCAAGUCGAACGGCAAGGCCCUGCUUUUGUGGGGUGCUCGAGUGGCGAACGGGUGAGUAACACGUGAGUAACCUGCCCUUGACUUUGGGAUAACUUCAGGAAACUGGGGCUACUACCGGAUAGGAGCUCCUGCUGCAUGGUGGGGGUUGGAAAGUUUCGGCGGUUGGGGAUGGACUCGCGGCUUAUCAGCUUGUUGGUGGGGUAGUGGCUUACCAAGGCUUUGACGGGUAGCCGGCCUGAGAGGGUGAACGGCCACAUUGGGACUGAGAUACGGCCCAGACUCCUACGGGAGGCAGCAGUGGGGAAUAUUGCACAAUGGGCGGAAGCCUGAUGCAGCAACGCCGCGUGCGGGAUGACGGCCUUCGGGUUGUAAACCGCUUUCGCCUGUGACGAAGCGUGAGUGACGGUAAUGGGUAAAGAAGCACCGGCUAACUACGUG
rnacentral:rRNA from 1 species